GUGAACGCUGGCGGUAGGCCUAACACAUGCAAGUCGAACGGCAGCACAGUAAGAGCUUGCUCUUACGGGUGGUGAGUGGCGGACGGGUGAAGAAUACAUCGGAAUCUACUUUUUCGUGGGGGAUAACGUAGGGAAACUUACGCUAAUACCGCAUACGACCUACGGGUGAAAGCAGGGGAUCUUCGGACCUUGCGCGAUUGAAUGAGCCGAUGUCGGAUUAGCUAGUUGGCGGGGUAAAGGCCCACCAAGGCGACGAUCCGUAGCUGGUCUGAGAGGAUGAUCAGCCACACUGGAACUGAGACACGGUCCAGACUCCUACGGGAGGCAGCAGUGGGGAAUAUUGGACAAUGGGCGCAAGCCUGAUCCAGCCAUACCGCGUGGGUGAAGAAGGCCUUCGGGUUGUAAAGCCCUUUUGUUGGGAAAGAAAAGCAGCAGGUUAAUACCCCGCUGUUCUGACGGUACCCAAAGAAUAAGCACCGGCUAACUUCGUG
rnacentral:rRNA from 1 species